AGCCUGGCUAAAGGUUUAUCAAUUUUAUUGAUCUUUUCAAAGAACCAGCUCUUGGUUUUAUUGAUUUUUCUCUCUUGAUUUCCUAUUUUCAAUUUCAUUGAUUUCUGCUCCAACAGGAACUCUCAUUCAUUGCUGUUGGGAAUGCAAAAUGGAGCAGCCACUUUGGAAGACAGUUUGGCAGUUUCUGACACAAGCUAAACAUACUCUUGCUAUACGAUCCAGCAAUCAUGCUCCCAGGGUCUCACUUGGGCUGCUACCGCUGCUAACGUCACAUACUAACCCUACCACGUCAAAGGCAGAGAGUGAUGACUGAUUCUUGCCAUCUGCCUGUUUAGUUACAGAAAACUUUCCCAAACGCCACCCGCCUCCUAUAGCAGGCACCCUCUAAGGCCCUCUUGGCCAGAACUGGGUCAAGUGCCCUCCUCACCCCCAACCAAUCCUAGCAAAGUGGAAGGGAAGGACCAUGUUCGAGUUCCUCCCAGCACAAUUCAUU
rnacentral:lncRNA from 1 species